rnacentral:rRNA from 1 species
GCCUCCCUCUUUCUUCGUGCCUAAUACAUGCAAGUAGAACGCUGAAGGAGGAGCUUGCUUCUCUGGAUGAGUUGCGAACGGGUGAGUAACGCGUAGGUAACCUGCCUGGUAGCGGGGGAUAACUAUUGGAAACGAUAGCUAAUACCGCAUAAUAGUAGAUGUUGCAUGACAUUUGCUUAAAAGGUGCAAUUGCAUCACUACCAGAUGGACCUGCGUUGUAUUAGCUAGUUGGUGGGGUAACGGCUCACCAAGGCGACGAUACAUAGCCGACCUGAGAGGGUGAUCGGCCACACUGGGACUGAGACACGGCCCAGACUCCUACGGGAGGCAGCAGUAGGGAAUCUUCGGCAAUGGACGGAAGUCUGACCGAGCAACGCCGCGUGAGUGAAGAAGGUGUUCGGAUCGUAAAGCUCUGUUGUAAGAGAAGAACGAGUGUGAGAGUGGAAAGUUCACACUGUGACGGUAUCUUACCAGAAAGGGACGGCUAACUACGU